rnacentral:rRNA from 1 species
GUGUAGGCGGCUUGGCAAGUGUUGUGUGAAAUCCCCCGGCUCAACCGGGGAACUGCAUGGCAAACUGCCUGGCUUGAGGUCGGUAGGGGUGCCUGGAACUCUAGGUGGAGCGGUGAAAUGCGUAGAUAUCUAGAGGAACGCCAGAGGCGAAAGCGGGGCACUGGGCCGAUUCUGACGCUGAGACCCGAAAGCGUGGGGAGCAAACA